rnacentral:lncRNA from 1 species
UUUUUAUUGUUUUCAUAGAUACAACAGAGAAAUGCAUAAUGUCCAGUCAAUUUAUUAAAGUUCCAAAGUCGGUCGCGCGCAGUGGCUCACGCCUGUAAUCUCAACACUUCGGGAGGCCGAGGCGUGUGGAUCACGAGUAUGUUUCCAGUCUCAAUAGAAAUCGAUGCCAAUCCAGAAAUACAAGCAUUAUUCUAAUACUUCUCACACAUUACUGGUAUGGAUGACAUUUUCUAGAUCUCCUUAAAUACUAUCAUUUUUCACUACUUGUAUCUUAACUGUUAAGUUCAACAUUUUCUGUAAUAUUAAUAUAUUGUGAAAAUUUCCUUUCUUUCUUAUUUGUCCCAGGUUCAAUGUUUUGCAGUCUCUACCUCACCCUGUGAAGCAUAAACAUUGUACAUGCUGUACAAAUAAUACAUCGUUCAUGUACUUAGAGAUUGCACAAUUUUUAUUUGGUUGACAAUAGCUAAUGUUUUCUUCUUCAUUUUCUAUUUCCUGAUUUUUCUUUAUUUAGUAUAUACUACACUGCCAUAAAAAUAAGAACGUUUUACAAACUAAAGCAAAAGGAACCCUAGGAAUAAAAUGCACAAAUAAAAUAUAUAAACAUACGUUUAGGUGUACCACGUACACUUGUAAUUUAUUUAGACUUUUAAUUUUAGUACAAUUUUAAUUAAAGUCUGUGUAUUAUCUGUCAUCGUCUUAGUAUUUUUUAUAUAACAAAUUGUGUAAAUCAAAAAGUAUCAAUGUCAUUGUAAACUAUCUUGGCAGAGGUUGAUCUCCAAGGAAUAAUUUCUCUCCUAAAUUAUGCCAAUCCAAAUUUCACUCUACCGUCAUUCUUUUCAUCAGUUUCAGAGGAAUAAUAAAUUUCAAAAUUGUUCAAGGUACUUCUUUUAGUUCAAGUAACAUUUGACAGGUGUAAAACUGUAGACAGACUGAUACAAACGUAUUCUAAUUGACUCAAAAUUAUAUGGGACCUAUUUUAAAAUCUAGAUUUUAAAAUGUCGUGUCAACAUACACAUGUUCUCCUUGUGAAAUAAUUGUUUUUUAUUCUCUGGAUAGAAUAAUUUAAUCUUUAAACCUUCCAUUCACUCUUAGAAACAAUAUAUUACAUAAGGAUAUGCUUAUAAAAAUAAUUCCCAACUAGCUUUUCAGUUCAGAAAUAUAUGUGAAGAAUCAUCAAACAUCUAAUGGAUUUCAAGGAGAAAUGGGUUAGUAAUUUAUUCCAUAUGUCUCAAUUUUUCCUAGACUCAAGGCUUCCUUUAAAAUAAUUGUAGGCAUUUAAGAAACCAUGCAAACUAAAAAGAAGAAACUGUGACGCUGCCGCUUAGGCUUUUUAAGUCUUUGGACAUGAUUCAAUAUAUUUUUUAAAUUGUAUCUUAAUUAGACAUUGUGAGUUCACCAUCUUCCUGUCAAUACAGCAUCCAAGCUGAUUAUCAUAGAUUACAAGUUCAACUAUCAACUGUGUUCUGAGAGUCUAAAAAAAUAAAUGAACGUAUUUGUUUGGGUAUUCUUAAAGCAGGAGUGAGGACACAGCGAAAGUGAGACAAGGAAAAGAGAACAAAAUAAAACAGGAAAGACAGAAAAGCCAAUACCACACGUGUUAAGAGUUUCAAGGAAAAUAUGUUUGGAGUUCCUGGCAUAGAGAAUGUCACAAAGACAUGUUUUCAAUAGUAGUGCUAUCCCGAGCGCAGAGAAGACCCAAAGAAAGCCCAAGUGGCUGCUGGAACAAAAUCAGACACCGUGCCACCUGUCCACACUCCUUGGCUCUGCCAUCAUGCUGAAGAUCGCUUUAAAGGACUGGCUUCCCUCCCCCCAAAAUUAAAAGAGCACAGACUGAGAAACUGAAUGUGGGAGACAGCAGUGGAUUAUGCUGUUCUCAGGGGUCACCUCAGGUUUGGAAGCAUUCUUUCAAAUUAACCCAUCUCAGGCCAUCUGCAGAGAAGAAAGGUGGUACCUAACUUUUUUUCUUGUCGGCAUUUGGUAGGGGUGUUUUAUUGACCAAAUAUGUUCCCACAACCUCGUUUUUUGUGACUAACUAAAUAUAGUAGAGUUUUAAAUUUUAUCAUCAAAAUCUAUAGACAAUUUUUGAUGAAAAUAGACUCCAUCUCUAUGUCCUGCUUUUCUUCUUCUUAUUAAUUACAUUGCUGUAUAAAAGAACAAGACUUCAGCAUCAAGAAUAUCUUGUCUCUUGGCAUUGAAUUUAUACAAGGUGCUCUUUCUUUAAUGCUGUCUCAAAGGACAUAUUUUUACUCAUUAAAAAGGAAGAUCGGAAUCUAGUUGUAUGCACUGCUCCAACAUAUUAAUAAUUAAAAUUAGGAGGUAAAUGUGGUCAAAGCUAUAGAAAGACUGAGAUGUCAUUUACAUCGAUUACUCUAUAGCACUCUACAAACAGAAAUUGUUAAAUAAUAGUUUAUAUAAAUAUUUUGUAGCAUUUCAAAUAUUUGAGUGCUUGAAGUUUCUCCUCUUUUAUAGUUCAGAUUAUCAAUUUGAAGACUUACUCCGCUAGUUAAUAUGUUUUUAGUCUCGUUUGAGUAUUAUAUAAAAGCAAUUUUCAGUUAAAUGUGUUCCGCUUACAUAAAACGUUACAAAUUAUUGAGGAUUUAAUUACUUAUUCAUGUUCCUGUAAUGUCUUUAGAAGAUUUUCUUAUUAUUACCUAUCAAUAUAUGUAUGCUUUGUCAAAGAAAAAUCAAACAUAUAUAUCAUUGAAAUUGAAACUUUUUAAAAGUACUUAUUAAUUCUAUUGAAAAACCACAUCCAUAGGAACAAUUACAAUAUAAUAUUGUGAACAUGUAAACAUAUACCCUAUGUCUAUUUUAUGUAUAAGCAUGUAUGAUUAAAAAUAUAGUGAAGAAUUUUUAAACCUAGUAUUAUAAAGUAAAAAUUAGUUAACUUCCGAUGAUUAUUUGUUAAUUAAGAUAAAAUUAUUUUGAUUUGGGUGAUUUUAAAUAAAGAAAAAUAUUAAAUUACAUGACAAAAAUUCUUUAUAAAAUGUUUAUGAUUUUUACAUUGGUUUUAUCACUUUUCCCACUAUUUUAUUUUAAGAUGACCUGCCUUGUUUAAAACACUGUAUUCAUCUUAGUUAAAUUAGAUUCCAUUUGUAAAAUAAUUAACAAAUGAUUUGCUCUAUUGUACAGUGCGGUUAUAAACUGAGUCAGUAUCUCAAGAUUUGAUCCCCAUUAUCAUCAUCUGUGGCCCUAUUUGUUUUAUAAAUGUAUUGUCUUUUUCCAUGCCUGUCACAUCUCUAUUGCUCUUUCAUUUUUCUCUUUGUCCCUUAUAGGGAGCAUUGCCUAUCUCUAGAUUAAGCAAAAGUUGCAUCAUAAAAAAGCACAAUAACCUGCUCAAUCUUUCUCACACAGAGAAAUGUUUGUUAAGUAAUUAAAGUGUAGAUGAUGAUACAAAGAGCUUGAUUAAAUUAGAUGCCAAAGUACCCUUGUGAUUCAGAAUAUGAAUGGUAUUUAAUUUCUUUGAAAUCAUUAAUUGCUGAGUGAGAUUAAUUAAUGCCAAUAUUCCAGAAGAUGUUCCAGUCAGUAAAAUGUAUACAACGUGCAAAAGAUUCAGAACUCUGAAGGGCAACAUUAUUCUAUAAUUAAGAAUUAAGAAUUAAUUCACAUUAAUUACUGGGGAGAAAUACUUUUUAAGAAUUAAUGACUGAGAAAAUGUUUUUAUUUUUUAUUUAGAAAAUUAUUUUGUGCAUGAGCAUUACCGCAAGUUUUGCAAGAAACAUAAAUUUAAAGAAACAAUUAUGUGCACAAGAUGAAUUUAAUAACAUCUUGAUAUAUUCCACGAUUGCGGUUUUAUUUGGUAAAUCUUUCAAGGCACACCAUUUAAAGAGAAUAAAUGAGUCUUGGAAAUCUUGUAGGUAAGGGUAAAUAUUAGGAUGCAUCCAGUUACAUUUACACACACAUACAGUUACAUUUACACACACAUACACGCAUACAGACUGAGUCACGUGUGUGUAUAUAUAUAUAUGAAUUUACCAAUUGAUGUUAACUAAUAUUUAUAAGAGCCAGUUGGAUUGAUAUAUAUUGUUGAACCUGAAAAAUAUUUAUUAUAUACAUGUUUAAAAUACAGAAAUAAAUAGCAAUUGCACUAGGCAUUUGAAACUGUACUAAAAUAUAAGCUGUGAACAUUUUGUGAUCAUUACAAAUUCUUACACUGAAUAAAUAUUUUUAUUUUUACAAUAUUAAUAUGUUUGAUACCUGUGUAUAUUUUUUU